rnacentral:snRNA from 1 species
AGCUUUGUGCAGUGGCAGUAUCGUAGCCAAUGAGGUUUAUCCGAGGCGCGAUUAUUGCUAAUUGAAAACUUUGGCCUGACUCCCUCCUAGUAGCUUCUUAAAAGUGUUGAGUAGAUGGAUAAGAAAGAGAAGUGUUGGGGCCUGGGCU